rnacentral:rRNA from 1 species
GGAGUUAGCCGGUGCUUCUUCUGUGAGUGAUGUCCUUCCUGCCGGCUAUUAACCCGCAGGCCUUCUUCCUCACUGAAAGUGCUUUACAACCCGAAGGCCUUCUUCACACACGCGGCAUGGCUGGAUCAGGGUUGCCCCCAUUGUCCAAUAUUCCCCACUGCUGCCUCCCGUAGGAGUCUGGGCCGUGUCUCAGUCCCAGUGUGGCUGAUCAUCCUCUCAGACCAGCUACGGAUCGUCGCCUUGGUGAGCCGUUACCUCACCAACCAGCUAAUCCGACAUAGGCUCAUCCGAUAGCGCGAGGCCCGAAGGUCCCCCGCUUUCCCCCGUAGGGCGUAUGCGGUAUUAGCCUGGGUUUCCCCAGGUUAUCCCCCACUACCGGGCAGAUUCCUAUGCAUUACUCACCCGUCCGCCGCUCGCCACCAGGGAGCAAGCUCCCCGUGCUGCCGCUCGACUUGCAUGUGUUAGGCCUGCCGCCAGCGUUCAAUCUGAGCCAGAGCAACUAACUCGACUACGAGACGGGCGGUCGGCGAACGGACGGCGACUAG